AUUGAACGCUGGCGGCAUGCUUUACACAUGCAAGUCGAACGGUAACAGGCCGCAAGGUGCUGACGAGUGGCGAACGGGUGAGUAAUGCAUCGGAACGUGCCCAGUCGUGGGGGAUAACUACUCGAAAGAGUAGCUAAUACCGCAUACGAUCUAUGGAUGAAAGCGGGGGACCGUAAGGCCUCGCGCGAUUGGAGCGGCCGAUGUCAGAUUAGGUAGUUGGUGGGGUAAAGGCUCACCAAGCCAACGAUCUGUAGCUGGUCUGAGAGGACAACCAGCCACACUGGGACUGAGACACGGCCCAGACUCCUACGGGAGGCAGCAGUGGGGAAUUUUGGACAAUGGGCGCAAGCCUGAUCCAGCAAUGCCGCGUGCAGGAAGAAGGCCUCCGGGUUGUAAACUGCUUUUGUACGGAACGAAACGGCUCUGGUUAAUACCCGGGGCUAAUGACGGUACCGUAAGAAUAAGCACCGGCUAACUACGUG
rnacentral:rRNA from 1 species